UACAGAGGGUGCAAGCGUUGUUCGGAAUUACUGGGCGUAAAGCGUGCGCAGGCGGUUCUCCAAGUCCGUUGUGAAAGCCCCGGGCUCAACCUGGGAAUGGCAGUGGAAACUAGGGGACUGGAAUCUGGCAGAGGGGGGUGGAAUGCCGCGUGUAGCAGUGAAAUGCGUAGAGAUGCGGCGGAACACCGAUGGCGAAGGCAGCCCCCUGGGCUGAGAUUGACGCUCAGGCACGAAAGCGUGGGGAGCGAACAGG
rnacentral:rRNA from 1 species